CACCGCGGUUAGACGAGAGGCCCAAGUUGAUAAAUACCGGCAUAAAGCGUGGUUAAGAAAUAAACAAACUAAGACUAAAUACUGUUAGUGCUGUUAUACGUAUACAAAAACUAGAAGCCCAAUUACGAAAGUGGUCUUACUUACUUUGAACCCACGAAAGCUACGGCA
rnacentral:rRNA from 1 species